rnacentral:tRNA from 1 species
GCAUUGGUGAUUCCGUGGUAGAAUUCUCACCUUCCACGCAGGAGACCUGAGUUUGAUUCCCAGCCAAUGCA